GUGGGGAAUAUUGGACAAUGGGCGCAAGCCUGAUCCAGCAACGCCGCGUGGAGGACGAAGGCCUUCGGGUCGUAAACUCCUGUCAGACGGGACGAAGGUGUGAGGGUAAAUAAUCCUUACGCUUGACGGUACCGUCAGAGGAAGCCCCGGCUAACUCCGUGCCAGCAGCCGCGGUAAUACGGAGGGGGCGAGCGUUAUUCGGAAUUAUUGGGCGUAAAGGGCGCGUAGGCGGCUUGGCAAGUCAAAGGUGAAAUCCCUCGGCUCAACUGAGGAACUGCCUUUGAAACUGCCUGGCUUGAGGCCGGGAGGGGGUAGCGGAAUUCCCAGUGUAGCGGUGAAAUGCGUAGAUAUUGGGAGGAACACCAGUGGCGAAGGCGGCUACCUGGACCGGUUCUGACGCUGAUGCGCGAAAGCGUGGGUAGCAAACAGG
rnacentral:rRNA from 1 species